rnacentral:rRNA from 1 species
CAGCCGCCGCGGGAACACGAAGGGUGCAAGCGUUACUCGGAAUUACUGGGCGUAAAGCGUGCGUAGGUGGUGGUUUAAGUCCGUUGUGUAAGCCCUGGGCUCAACCUGGGAAUUGCAGUGGAUACUGGGUCACUAGAGUGUGGUAGAGGAUAGUGGAAUUUCCGGUGUAGCAGUGAAAUGCGUAGAGAUCGGAAGGAACAUCUGUGGCGAAGGCGACUAUCUGGGCCAACACUGACACUGAGGCACGAAAGCGUGGGGAGCAAACAGGAUUAGAUACCCCCGUAGUCCCUGUCUCUUAUAC